AGAGUUUGAUCAUGGCUCAGGAUGAACGCUGGCGGCGUGCCUAACACAUGCAAGUCGAACGGUUAACCCACUUCGGGUGGUCAUACAGUGGCGAACGGGUGAGUAACACGUGACCAACCUGCCCCCCUCUCCGGGACAACCUCGGGAAACCGUGGCUAAUACCGGAUGCUCCUUCCCCUCCGCAUGGAGGGGUCGGGAAAGCCCAGGCGGAGGGGGAUGGGGUCGCGGCCCAUCAGGUAGACGGCGGGGUAGCGGCCCACCGCGCUUUCGACGGGUAGCCGGGUUGAGAGACCGACCGGCCACAUUGGGACUGAGAUACGGCCCAGACUCCUACGGGAGGCAGCAGUGGGGAAUUUUGCGCAAUGGGGGAAACCCUGACGCAGCAACGCCGCGUGCGGGAAGACGGCCUUCGGGUUGUAAACCGCUUUCAGCAGGGAAGACCGACGACGGUACCUGCAGAGGAAGCCCCGGCUAACUACGUGCCAGCAGCCGCGGUAAUACGUAGGGGGCGAGCGUUAUCCGGAUUCAUUGGGCGUAAAGCGCGCGUAGGCGGCGCGCCAAGCGGAACCUCUAACCUCGGGGCUCAACCUCGAGCCGGGUUCCGAACUGGCGCGCUCGAGUUCGGUAGAGGCAGGCGGAAUUCCCGGUGUAGCGGUGGAAUGCGCAGAUAUCGGGAAGAACACCGAUGGCGAAGGCGGCCUGCUGGGCCGACACUGACGCUGAGGUGCGAAAGCUAGGGGAGCGAACAGGAUUAGAUACCCUGGUAGUCCUAGCCGUAAACGAUGGACGCUAGGUGUGGGGAGGAUCGCCUCUCCGUGCCGAAGCCAACGCAUUAAGCGUCCCGCCUGGGGAGUACGGCCGCAAGGCUAAAACUCAAAGGAAUUGACGG
rnacentral:rRNA from 1 species